rnacentral:rRNA from 1 species
AGUGAACGCUGGCGGUAGGCCUAACACAUGCAAGUCGAACGGCAGCACAGUAAGAGCUUGCUCUUACGGGUGGCGAGUGGCGGACGGUGAGGAAUACAUCGGAAUCUACUUUUUCGUGGGGGAGAACGUAGGGAAACUUACGCUAAUACCGCAUACGACCUACGGGUGAAAGCAGGGGAUCUUCGGACCUUGCGCGAUUGAAUGAGCCGAUGUCGGAUUAGCUAGUUGGCGGGGUAAAGGCCCACCAAGGCGACGAUCCGUAGCUGGUCUGAGAGGAUGAUCAGCCACACUGGAACUGAGACACGGUCCAGACUCCUACGGGAGGCAGCAGUGGGGAAUAUUGGACAAAGGGCGCAAGCCUGAUCCAGCCAUACCGCGUGGGUGAAGAAGGCCUUCGGGUUGUAAAGCCCUUUUGUUGGGAAAGAAAAGCAGCAGGUUAAUACCCCGCUGUUCUGACGGUACCCAAAGAAUAAGCACCGGCUAACUUCGUG